UGGGGAAUUUUGGACAAUGGGCGCAAGCCUGAUCCAGCCAUGCCGCGUGCGGGAAGAAGGCCUUCGGGUUGUAAACCGCUUUUGUCAGGGAAGAAAUCUUCUGAGUUAAUACCUCGGGAGGAUGACGGUACCUGAAGAAUAAGCACCGGCUAACUACGUGCCAGCAGCCGCGGUAAUACGUAGGGUGCAAGCGUUAAUCGGAAUUACUGGGCGUAAAGCGUGCGCAGGCGGUUUUGUAAGACAGAGGUGAAAUCCCCGGGCUCAACCUGGGAACUGCCUUUGUGACUGCAAGGCUUGAGUGCGGCAGAGGGGGGACGGAAUUCCGCGUGUAGCAGUGAAAUGCGUAGAUAUGCGGAGGAACACCGAUGGCGAAGGCAAUCCCCUGGGCCUGCACUGACGCUCAUGCACGAAAGCGUGGGGAGCAAACAGGAUUAGAUAGCCCUGGUAGUCCACGCCCUAAACGAUGUGCAACUGGUUGUUGGGAAGGUUCCUUCUCAGUAACGUAGCUAACGCGUGAAGUU
rnacentral:rRNA from 1 species